rnacentral:lncRNA from 1 species
AAACGAAACUAACUUUACAGAUUGCAUGCUUGUAAAAAAUAAUACACCAUAAUGUUAUUCUGUUCAUUAGUGUUCACAUCGCAAGAAAACAUAACUGGACAUAUACUAAAAAUAAAGAAAGGUUCCUGCAACUCAUAAUAUGACUAAUUUGUAUGGAAUGGAACUGAACCACUUUGAAUAAAAAAACAUUCGCAGGCAAGACCAGGAGAUCGGAAUCUAGCUGCAGCAGAACUUGAGACACGGUGUUACUCUUGUUCUUGAGGCAUAUGGUGCAUCAGUACAUCUUAUGUGGCUAGUGCACCAUUUGUGGCCACAAUUUACUUUUGUGCAAGGGCUGCCAUUAUGUUGCAAGGUAAGUAACAGGAAAUAAGUUUUGCUAUCUAACUCAGGCAUUUUUUGGGUUCAAAGAAUGUAUACUACCUCCGUUGCAAAGACAUGUGGAUGUGAUCAACUCGUUGCAACUCUUUAAGUCAAUUGUUUCCUUCUGGUCUUUGAUUCAGAAGUUGUCGUAUCAGACUAUGUUUCCGCUGUAAACAACACAAACAGAAAUUUCAGUUAUGCUAUGUGCAUUGCAACGGGAGUUUAAAAAAAAUCAACUACCACCCCCUCCCCAACCCACCCUCGAAGUUCAAAAUCUAAACGUUUGAUUCAUCUGUAUGCCCAUACAUGUCAAUCGGAACUUUAUAUUAUUAAAGCAACUUUAAAUUCUAAGAUUUGCAAGCUUGAAUAUUUUUACAUGUCUAGUUUUCAGAAACAAAAGAUUGAUGUUUGCCUGCAAUUAUAUCGAGUUUUCAGCUUUAAACUUCAUUGUCAGUCUACUUGUAAAUUUCCAGUAAGCCCAUGUGCCAGCAAAACUUCAGCCACUUCACAAUGCCCAGUGUUUUUAAUGGCCAGCCUCAAAUGAUAGAAGUACUUUAGCAUAUAUGUGUAUAUUCAGACCAAGAACCCUUGCCAAUUCCAACAAUAAAUACAUGAAAAGUACAUGUGAUUGAAGUAUACUACAGAAGAACCUCAACAGAGUAACUAUUGUCAGCCAGCAGAAUACAAAAUAAGUAUUGACAAGAACAACAUAUAUAACAUUUUGGAUCAUGAGUAAGUUAAUACAUCCGUUCCCUAACUUUAUGUAAGAAUCAUAUCUGGCAUUGUAUGGCUCGUAUGUCAAUAGUAGUUUGUGUUCUUUACUUGGUAUACAUAUCAAUGCAUAUUUGAAAUUUGAAUGCUAUUAAGCAAAGAACAUUGCAGAAACAAAAAUCUUACCAAGGAACCAGGGAAGACAAACACUGAAAAGUCCGAGAAAAUAAAAUAGUUUUUG